CCUUCGAUAGCUCAGUUGGAAGAGCGUGAGACUGUAAUGGGUUACCUGCUCAUCUCAAGGUCACUGGUUCGAUCCCGGUUCGAAGGA
rnacentral:tRNA from 1 species